AUUGAACGCUGGCGGCAGGCCUAACACAUGCAAGUCGAGCGGAUGAAGGGAGCUUGCUCCUGGAUUCAGCGGCGGACGGGUGAGUAAUGCCUAGGAAUCCGCCUGGUAGUGGGGGAUAACGUCCGGAAACGGGCGCUAAUACCGCAUACGUCCUGAGGGAGAAAGUGGGGGAUCUUCGGACCUCACGCUAUCAGAUGAGCCUAGGUCGGAUUAGCUAGCUGGUGGGGUAAAGGCCUACCAAGGCGACGAUCCGUAACUGGUCUGAGAGGAUGAUCAGUCACACUGGAACUGAGACACGGUCCAGACUCCUACGGGAGGCAGCAGUGGGGAAUAUUGGACAAUGGGCGAAAGCCUGAUCCAGCCAUGGCGCGUGUGUGAAGAAGGUCUUCGGAUUGUAAAGCACUUUAAGUUGGGAGGAAGGGCAGUAAGUUAAUACCUUGCUGUUUUGACGUUACCAACAGAAUAAGCACCGGCUAACUUCGUG
rnacentral:rRNA from 1 species